rnacentral:rRNA from 1 species
UACAUGGGGUGCAAACGUUGCUCGGAAUUAUUGGGCGUAAAGCGCACGUAGGCGGUUUGUUAAGUCGGAUGUGAAAUCCCUCGGCUCAACUGAGGAAGUGCAUCCGAAACUGGCAGGCUUGAGUACUAAAGAGGGUCGCGGAAUUCCCGGUGUAGAGGUGAAACUCGUAGAUAUCGGGAGGAACACCGGUGGCGAAGGCGGCGACCUGGGUAGAUACUGACGCUGAGGUGCGAAAGCGUGGGGAGCAAACAGG